rnacentral:misc_RNA from 1 species
UACAAACUGGGGUGGUGGAAUAUGGUUAGUCCAAAUUUCUACAUAGAUAUAUGGUAUGCAUUUAAAUAUGUUAUCUGAAAGAAAGUGAGUGACGCACACCAGUCCAGUGUAGUUGAUUGUGUGCAAAGCAAAACGCACAAUUAUAGCAUAUGCAAAGUGGGGGAUAUGUACCCAUGUAACUAAUUUGGACCUUCAAGAGUCAGCUCUUAUUCAACAUCAUAAAAUUGGUUCUAAAGUCAGAUUCAAUAUUUUAUAAAAGCAGUAGUGACAAUACUUUUAGGCUUUAGCAUUUCUAGAUCCACGUGUAUUAUAAACAUCAAUGCUGCAAUAAAAUUUUCUCAUUAGCAGCUUUGUCUAAGAAUGAAUCUCCUUAAUAGUUUUUCUUUUUUCUAAUGUAAAAAUUCUUUUGGAUUUCAUAUUGAUGUUCAUGAAUGAAAAUUAGAUGAUUCGAAUCCUGCAAACUUUUUUCCCUGUUCAAUGAAGAGAAAAAUGCAUCACGUGCUGCUAUGACAUUGGCUAUAUUGUUCAAAAGGCUUGUCAUUUUUUACUCAUUUUGUUGACUAUCUUGUGGAAAUGCUCCAUUCUGAAUGCUUAUUUUAUCCCUUUG